GGCCCGAAACGGACAAGCGUAUCGCCAACCCGGUCAGGUCCGGAAGGAAGCAGCCGUAACGAUUAUUGUUUGGGUCGUCUUCGGUCCUCC
rnacentral:SRP_RNA from 1 species